GAUGUGACAAGAGACCCGUCGUCACCCCUCUGGAAGCAUCCCCCACAGGCUCCCCCAGUGCCUUGCUCGGAUGCCACGGACACAGCCCAAGAAUACUCACUGAUGAUGGCAGUAAACCCUAGACGAUGGAGAGAGGGGAAACAGUGACCAAUGUGGAGACGAUGCCGGAUUUCAUUCAUUCAGUCAAGGAAUGUUUGUCAGGCACCUGCCAUGUGCCUAGUACAGACCUAAGCUCGGGGAUCUCACCAGCCAGAUGGGUUAAGGGGCAUGAAGAGACUUGGAAUUGCACUGAUAGGAAAACGAAGCAAUUGUUCACUGAGUCCUCGGGCCUGGUGAAAGAGACCCAAACAGCAACGCUCUUGCAGCACCAUGGAAACCAGGCCUGCCGCUGGGCGUGUUGGGAAGCAGCGAGACCUUUCUCCUGAAUGCUAGAACAACCUCCAAACUGGACUCAGCUGAUUACCCGAGAUUGGAUUUAUGAAUUUAAAGCACUAAGGCUGCAUGUCUUUCAAAUGCUAUGGCAUCACGCGGACCGGCAUUUCUGGUCGGUAAUCAGCUUCAGAAACGGCUGUAGUGAUACCUGAGUGUGGAGAAGUGACAGCAUCCAGGUGCCAAGCUGCUGCCAGCAGCCUCCAUCUGCUCAGCCCAGCCCUUCUGACGGUGCCAUGGGUCCAGGAAGCCUGC